GACGAACGCUGGCGGCGUGCUUAACACAUGCAAGUCGAACGGAAAGGCCCUGCUUUUGUGGGGUGCUCGAGUGGCGAACGGGUGAGUAACACGUGAGUAACCUGCCCUUGACUUUGGGAUAACUUCAGGAAACUGGGGCUAAUACCGGAUAGGAGCUCCUGCUGCAUGGUGGGGGUUGGAAAGUUUCGGCGGUUGGGGAUGGACUCGCGGCUUAUCAGCUUGUUGGUGGGGUAGUGGCUUACCAAGGCUUUGACGGGUAGCCGGCCUGAGGGGGUGACCGGCCACAUUGGGACUGAGAUACGGCCCAGACUCCUACGGGAGGCAGAAGUGGGGAAUAUUGCACAAUGGGCGGAAGCCUGAUGCAGCAACGCCGGGGGCGGGAUGACGGCCUUCGGGUUGUAAACCGCUUUCGCCUGUGACGAAGCGUGAGUGACGGUAAUGGGUAAAGAAGCACCGGCUAACUACGUG
rnacentral:rRNA from 1 species